AUACUUAUCUGGCAUGGGAGAUGCCAAGAUCACGAAGGUGGUUUUCCCAGGGCGAGGCUUAUUCAUUGCACUCUGAAUGUGCUAUCCCCUGUGAUUUCCCCAAAUGUGGGAAACUCGACUGUAUAAUUUGUGAUAGUGGGUGACUGAGUUUAUGCUUUCCCCUU
ensembl:snRNA U1 U1 spliceosomal RNA